rnacentral:rRNA from 1 species
AGUUUACUUCAUUGGGUAGGGGAGCGUUCUGUAAGCCGUUGAAGGUGAAUCGUAAGGUUUGCUGGAGGUAUCAGAAGUGCGAAUGCUGACAUGAGUAACGACAAGGGGGGUGAAAAACCUCCCCGCCGGAAGACCAAGGGUUCCUGUCCAACGUUAAUCGGGGCAGGGUGAGUCGACCCCUAAGGCGAGGCCGAAAGGCGUAGUCGAUGGGAAACGGGUUAAUAUUCCCGUACUCAAUCAAAUUGCGAUGGGGGGACGGAGAAGGCUAGGUGGGCCAGGCGACGGUUGUCCUGGUUCAAGUGCGUAGGCUUAAGAGUUAGGUAAAUCCGGCUCUUUCUAAGGCUGAGACACGACGUCGAGCACCUACGGGUGUGAAGUCAUUGAUGCCAUGCUUCCAGGAAAAGCCUCUAAGCUUCAGAUUUGAUGGAAUCGUACCCCAAACCGACACAGGUGGUCGGGUAGAGAAUACCAAGGCGCUUGAGAGAACUCGGGUGAAGGAACUAGGCAAAAUGGUACCGUAACUUCGGGAGAAGGUACGCUCUUGAUGGUGAAGUCCCUCGCGGAUGGAGCUGACGAGAGUCGCAGAUACCAGGUGGCUGCAACUGUUUAUUAAAAACACAGCACUGUGCAAAAUCGCAAGAUGACGUAUACGGUGUGACGCCUGCCCGGUGCCGGAAGGUUAAUUGAUGGGGUUAGCGUAAGCGAAGCUCUUGAUCGAAGCCCCGGUAAACGGCGGCCGUAACUAUAACGGUCCUAAGGUAGCGAAAUUCCUUGUCGGGUAAGUUCCGACCUGCACGAAUGGCGUAAUGAUGGCCACGCUGUCUCCACCCGAGACUCAGUGAAAUUGAAAUCGCUGUGAAGAUGCAGUGUACCCGCGGCUAGACGGAAAGACCCCGUGAACCUUUACUACAGCUUGGCACUGAACAUUGAACCUACAUGUGUAGGAUAGGUGGGAGGCUAUGAAGACGUGACGC